GCCUGGGUGGCUCAGUCGGUUGAGCGUCUGACUUCGGCUCAGGUCAUGAUCUCACGGUUCAUGGGUUCAAGCCCCACAUCGGGCU
rnacentral:tRNA from 1 species